rnacentral:rRNA from 1 species
UACAGAGGGUGCGAGCGUUAAUCGGAUUUACUGGGCGUAAAGCGUGCGUAGGCGGCUUUUUAAGUCGGAUGUGAAAUCCCUGAGCUUAACUUAGGAAUUGCAUUCGAUACUGGUAGUCUAGAGUGUGCAAGAGGAUGGGGGAAUUCCUGGUGUAGCAGUGAAAUGCGUAGAGAUCUGGAGGAAUACCGAUGGCGAAGGCAGCCAUCUGGCCUAAUACUGACGCUGAGGUACGAAAGCAUGGGGAGCAAACAGG